AGAGUAGACUUUAUUAAAAUAAUCUGGUGUAAAUUUGGAAAAACUCAAAGGUAAGUUAUUGACAGAAUGGGACAAAGAAAAACACUGGAACGAAACCAACAAGUCAGCAGAGCCAUCUAUUGGAGAAUUAAAGAAAUACAAUCAUACGAAGGGAAGUAACUUCUACAACACAGUUCCCUUAAUUUAUUAAUUAGUGCAUUUAAUUAGCGAUCACUGGACUCGCAUUUUAUAUCCGAAUACGAAUAUCACAUCAUGUUGACGUUAAAGAAAUUUCUUCAUUUAGACAUGCCUCUGAUAUUUUUGUUGACUUUCAUCAAUUAAAGGAAGACCAUAUAUUCAUAAGGCACAUUCAUCAACGCAUCAACUUCUUUGUAUAAAUGAAAUCCUCAAUGAACGAUGGGAAAAUAUUUCUUCUUGGCUAUGCAAUUAACAGCAACGUUUAUUUCCCUUCACUGUCUGGAAUGUAGUGGAGAUGGUCAAUUUACAGAUUAAUUAAGCUUGGAUAACUUUGCAAACGAAUUAACAGUUUACAUCUUUUGUUUUGGUUAUUAAGAGUGGACACAAGCACUCAUACAAACGAAAAAAACAAUAUCAUUGUGAUAAGUAUGACAAAAUUAUUCUCUCAUAAUGAAUAAUUUAACUAAACCAAAAAAUCCAGAUACAAGAGAGAAACCAUAUCACUGUGAUGUCUGUGGUGAAUUAUUCUCUCGAAGUAGUAACUUGACUCAUCAUAAAUCUAUGCAUACAGGAGAGA